UUUUUUUUUUCUUUUAUUCUUUUUAAUUAUUAUUCUUUUUUCCAUUAUAUCUCAUCUUAUUCUCGAUCUCAAAUAGUUGAUCUCCUUCUCCUCGAAGAUAAAGGUGCAUACGCCCUACCGCAGCCGCAGUGACAAUCGUAACCACCGCUGACCACAAAUUCUCUCUUCCGUUUUCUUUUCUCACUCCUUUAGCAGUCUAGUUUUGUCUUCUUCAUCUCGAUCUUAAUUUCCUCCAAUGGCCGCAAUUUUCUAGAUAUUUUCCCGCAGAUUAAUCAAAGAUGCCCUCCUUUCCCCCAAUUUUACUUGCAGUCAUGUGAGUUCUUGAUAAUGGCGACAGAUGUUAAUCAUAAGCUUCGAUCAAAUUGCAUUGGCCUUCGAUUCAAUAAAGGUUUGGUUUGCUUGGACUACUGGAAUAAUAAUGCAUUUUGCAUAGCUUUUGCCAUUCCUACUACUGUGAAAUCCGAAUAAUGCCAAGGAUAUAAAACAUGAAGCCUAUAAAUUAGACUUUUGCUCUAUGUAUAAAAGUCGAUAGAGCAAGGGUGCAAGUUGCGACAAGGCAGGGCAUAAUAGCCCCUUGUCUUUAAGAUUCCUAGUUUUACUAUUGUAAAAAAAGAGUAUACUUGUGUAUUUGUAUAUAUACUAAUGUUUUUUUUUUUUGGGUGAAGGAGAGGGGCGAUGCCCCUGGAUGUAUUUAUACAAAUGUAAAUAUAGUAAUUAUAAUAAGUUAUAAUCAAUGUUAAAUCAUUUUAUUA